GACGAACGCUGGCGGCGUGCCUAAUACAUGCAAGUCGAACGCACUCUCGUUUAGAUUGAAGGAGCUUGCUCCUGAUUGAUAAACAUUUGAGUGAGUGGCGGACGGGUGAGUAACACGUGGGUAACCUGCCCUAAAGUGGGGGAUAACAUUUGGAAACAGAUGCUAAUACCGCAUAAAACCUAACACCGCAUGGUGUAGGGUUGAAAGAUGGUUUCGGCUAUCACUUUAGGAUGGACCCGCGGUGCAUUAGUUAGUUGGUGAGGUAAAGGCUCACCAAGACCGUGAUGCAUAGCCGACCUGAGAGGGUAAUCGGCCACACUGGGACUGAGACACGGCCCAGACUCCUACGGGAGGCAGCAGUAGGGAAUCUUUCCACAAUGGACGAAAGUCUGAUGGAGCAACGCCGCGUGAGUGAAGAAGGUUUCGGAUCGUAAAACUCUGUUGUUGGAGAAGAAUGUAUCUGAUAGUAACUGAUCAGGUAGUGACGGUAUCCGAACCAGAAAGCCACGG
rnacentral:rRNA from 1 species